rnacentral:rRNA from 1 species
CCAGACUCCUACGGGAGGCAGCAGUGGGGAAUAUUGGACAAUGGGGGAAACCCUGAUCCAGCGACGCCGCGUGAGUGAAGAAGUAUUUCGGUACGUAAAGCUCUAUCAGCAGGAAAGAAAAUGACGGUACCUGAGUAAGAAGCCCCGGCUAACUACGUGCCAGCAGCCGCGGUAAUACGUAGGGGGCAAGCGUUAUCCGGAAUUACUGGGUGUAAAGGGAGCGUAGACGGUGAAGUAAGUCUGGAGUGAAAGGCGGGGGCCCAACCCCCGGACUGCUCUGGAAACUAUUUGACUGGAGUGCAGGAGAGGUAAGCGGAAUUCCUAGUGUAGCGGUGAAAUGCGUAGAUAUUAGGAGGAACACCAGUGGCGAAGGCGGCUUACUGGACUGUAACUGACGUUGAGGCUCGAAAGCGUGGGGAGCAAACAGGAUUAGAUACCCGCGUAGU